UUAAGUUAGAAAGGGCGCACGGUGGAUGCCUUGACACUAGGAGUCGAUGAAGGACGGGACUAACGCCGAUAUGCUUCGGGGAGCUGUAAGUAAGCUUUGAUCCGAAGAUUUCCGAAUGGGGAAACCCACCAUACGUAAUGGUAUGGUAUCCUUAUCUGAAUACAUAGGGUAAGGAAGACAGACCCAGGGAACUGAAACAUCUAAGUACCUGGAGGAAGAGAAAGCAAAUGCGAUUUCCUGAGUAGCGGCGAGCGAAACGGAACAUAGCCCAAACCAAGAGGCUUGCCUCUUGGGGUUGUAGGACAUUCUAUACGGAGUUACAAAGGAACGAGGUAGACGAAGCGACCUGGAAAGGUCCGUCGUAGAGGGUAACAACCCCGUAGUCGAAACUUCGUUCUCUCUUGAAUGUAUCCUGAGUACGGCGGAACACGUGAAAUUCCGUCGGAAUCUGGGAGGACCAUCUCCCAAGGCUAAAUACUACCUAGUGAUCGAUAGUGAACCAGUACCGUGAGGGAAAGGUGAAAAGCACCCCGGAAGGGGAGUGAAAGAGAUCCUGAAACCGUGUGCCUACAAAUAGUCAGAGCCCGUUAACGGGUGAUGGCGUGCCUUUUGUAGAAUGAACCGGCGAGUUACGAUCCCGUGCGAGGUUAAGCUGAAGAGGCGGAGCCGCAGCGAAAGCGAGUCUGAAUAGGGCGUUUAGUACGUGGUCGUAGACCCGAAACCAGGUGAUCUACCCAUGUCCAGGGUGAAGUUCAGGUAACACUGAAUGGAGGCCCGAACCCACGCACGUUGAAAAGUGCGGGGAUGAGGUGUGGGUAGCGGAGAAAUUCCAAUCGAACCUGGAGAUAGCUGGUUCUCCCCGAAAUAGCUUUAGGGCUAGCCUUAAGUGUAAGAGUCUUGGAGGUAGAGCACUGAUUGGACUAGGGGUCCUCAUCGGAUUACCGAAUUCAGUCAAACUCCGAAUGCCAAUGACUUAUCCUUAGGAGUCAGACUGCGAGUGAUAAGAUCCGUAGUCAAAAGGGAAACAGCCCAGACCGCCAGCUAAGGUCCCAAAGUGUGUAUUAAGUGGAAAAGGAUGUGGAGUUGCUUAGACAACUAGGAUGUUGGCUUAGAAGCAGCCACCAUUUAAAGAGUGCGUAAUAGCUCACUAGUCGAGUGACUCUGCGCCGAAAAUGUACCGGGGCUAAAUACACCACCGAAGCUGCGGAUUGAUACCAAUGGUAUCAGUGGUAGGGGAGCGUUCUAAGGACAGUGAAGUCAGACCGGAAGGACUGGUGGAGUGCUUAGAAGUGAGAAUGCCGGUAUGAGUAGCGAAAGACGGGUGAGAAUCCCGUCCACCGAAUGCCUAAGGUUUCCUGAGGAAGGCUCGUCCGCUCAGGGUUAGUCAGGACCUAAGCCGAGGCCGACAGGCGUAGGCGAUGGACAACAGGUUGAUAUUCCUGUACCACCUCUUUAUCGUUUGAGCAAUGGAGGGACGCAGAAGGAUAGAAGAAGCGUGCGAUUGGUUGUGCACGUCCAAGCAGUUAGGCUGAUAAGUAGGCAAAUCCGCUUAUCGUGAAGGCUGAGCUGUGAUGGGGAAGCUCCUUAUGGAGCGAAGUCUUUGAUUCCCCGCUGCCAAGAAAAGCUUCUAGCGAGAUAAAAGGUGCCUGUACCGCAAACCGACACAGGUAGGCGAGGAGAGAAUCCUAAGGUGUGCGAGAGAACUCUGGUUAAGGAACUCGGCAAAAUGACCCCGUAACUUCGGGAGAAGGGGUGCUUUCUUAACGGAAAGCCGCAGUGAAUAGGCCCAAGCGACUGUUUAGCAAAAACACAGCUCUCUGCGAAGCCGUAAGGCGAAGUAUAGGGGGUGACACCUGCCCGGUGCUGGAAGGUUAAGGAGAGGGGUUAGCGUAAGCGAAGCUCUGAACUGAAGCCCCAGUAAACGGCGGCCGUAACUAUAACGGUCCUAAGGUAGCGAAAUUCCUUGUCGGGUAAGUUCCGACCCGCACGAAAGGUGUAACGAUUUGGGCACUGUCUCAACCAGAGACUCGGUGAAAUUAUAGUACCUGUGAAGAUGCAGGUUACCCGCGACAGGACGGAAAGACCCCGUGGAGCUUUACUGUAGCCUGAUAUUGAAUUUUGGUACAGUUUGUACAGGAUAGGCGGGAGCCUUUGAAACCGGAGCGCUAGCUUCGGUGGAGGCGCUGGUGGGAUACCGCCCUGACUGUAUUGAAAUUCUAACCUACGGGUCUUAUCGACCCGGGAGACAGUGUCAGGUGGGCAGUUUGACUGGGGCGGUCGCCUCCUAAAGUGUAACGGAGGCGCCCAAAGGUUCCCUCAGAAUGGUUGGAAAUCAUUCGUAGAGUGCAAAGGCAUAAGGGAGCUUGACUGCGAGACCUACAAGUCGAGCAGGGACGAAAGUCGGGCUUAGUGAUCCGGUGGUUCCGCAUGGAAGGGCCAUCGCUCAACGGAUAAAAGCUACCCCGGGGAUAACAGGCUUAUCUCCCCCAAGAGUCCACAUCGACGGGGAGGUUUGGCACCUCGAUGUCGGCUCAUCGCAUCCUGGGGCUGUAGUCGGUCCCAAGGGUUGGGCUGUUCGCCCAUUAAAGCGGUACGCGAGCUGGGUUCAGAACGUCGUGAGACAGUUCGGUCCCUAUCCGUCGUGGGCGUAGGAAAUUUGAGAGGAGCUGUCCUUAGUACGAGAGGACCGGGAUGGACGCACCGCUGGUGUACCAGUUGUUCUGCCAAGGGCAUAGCUGGGUAGCUAUGUGCGGAAGGGAUAAGUGCUGAAAGCAUCUAAGCAUGAAGCCCCCCUCAAGAUGAGAUUUCCCAUAGCGUAAGCUAGUAAGAUCCCUGAAAGAUGAUCAGGUUGAUAGGUUCGAGGUGGAAGCAUGGUGACAUGUGGAGCUGACGAAUACUAAUAGAUCGAGGACUUAACCAU
rnacentral:rRNA from 2 species